CUGACGCGACGCCGGUAAACGGCCCGCGUUAAACCCUGGUCGCUCGGCCGACUGCCCGGCGGUACACGCAAGGUAUCAGGCCGCAGCUCGCUGUGCGUCAAGGCCGUCGCAAGCGCGCGCCACGGUACACGGAUGUUCGCCGGACCUAGCGCCGUCACAGGUUCUGGCCCGCUGCUGGCACGUACGGUUAACCUUCGACAGGCCAGCAAACGCGUCCCCCGCCGGUUCCGCGCGCGCGUGGAGACCGCGAUACCGGUCAGCGACGCUACUGCUUUGGGUAAUCUUAGGACACGUCUUGAAACACGGACCAAGGAGACUAACAUGUACGCGAGACAUUGAGACUUGUAAUGGUAUACCUUAAGGCGAAAAGAAAGAGAAGGUCGGCCCUGGUUGUCGACCGAGGGAGGAUGGGCCGCGUCGCGAUGCUGCUCCGCACUCCCGGGGCGUCUCGUUCUCAUCGCGAGAAGAGGCGCACCCAGAGCGUACACGUUGGGACACGAAAGAUGGUGAACUAUGCCUGGCCAGGUCGAAGUCAGGGGAAACACUAAUGGAGGUCCGUAGCGAUUCUGACGUGCAAAUCGAUCGUCGGAACUGGGUAUAGGGGAGAAAGACUAAUCGAACCAUGUGGUAGCUAGUUCUCUCCGAAGUUUCGCUCAGGAUAGUUGGCACUCGACCGUUCCCGCACGGAACGCGAACAAGUCUCAUCUGGUAAAGCGAAUGAUUAGAGGCCUUGGGGCCGAAACGACCUCAACCUAUUCUCAAACGAUAAAUUGGUGAGACAUCUGGCUUUCUUGAAACUUGAAGCCACGAGCAUCUUACUCUCGGAUCAGAGUGCCAAGUAGGCCAUUUUUGGUAAGCAGAACUGGCGCUGUGGGAUGAACCAAACGCAGAGUUAAGACGCCCAACUCGACGCUCAUGGGAC
rnacentral:ncRNA from 1 species